ACGAGCAAAAUGCCCCAUAUCAAAGAUGUCGAGCAUUUGCUCGCUGCACUUCAAACAUGAAGAUUUUACCAAACGGUAUACUAGUUUGCAAGGGCAAACAAGUAGACUGGUGUGUGUCAAAGUUGGUGUGUUUGCUUUUCCUUUUGUUCAUUUCUCAGAAAGACUGACGAAAGAAAGUGCGCCUUCUGAAAGGAAUCGUAGACAGGUUGUUAGAGACAUUUUGUGUAGCACAGAAACAGGUCCUUGCCCUUCUAGUCAAGACACUUUUGGAGCUGAAAAUGCUACCUCUUUGGAAGACAGUGAUACUGAUGUUGAAUUUUUUGAUGAUGUCUUGUGAGUUCAAACAAUGGCAGUACAAGCGGAAGUACAGGUUCAGUAUGAGUUUUGCCAAACUGAAGAAGAAUAUUGCAGGCAAUGUGUUAAAUACAAAGAAAACACGAGGCAAUUGAAGAGAACAAUAGAAAGCAAGAAUGCUAUUAUCCAACAACUUACUGAAG